GAUCAUGGCUCAGGAUGAACGCUAGCUACAGGCUUAACACAUGCAAGUCGAGGGGCAGCAUGGUCUUAGCUUGCUAAGGCUGAUGGCGACCGGCGCACGGGUGAGUAACACGUAUCCAACCUGCCGUCUACUCUUGGCCAGCCUUCUGAAAGGAAGAUUAAUCCAGGAUGGGAUCAUGAGUUCACAUGUCCGCAUGAUUAAAGGUUUACCGGUGUAAGAUGGGG
rnacentral:rRNA from 1 species